GUCCCAGUAGCGCAAUGGAUAACGAUUUGGACUUCUAAUCCAAAGGUCGUGGGUUCGAAUCCCACCUGGAAUG
rnacentral:tRNA from 1 species